UGGAUGCGAUUAAUACCUUAAAAAAUAGUUUUCCGGAGUGAGCACUCUCUCUUGGCUCUUCUGAUCUUCUGCCAUGUGAGGAACCUUGUUCCUCUUUUCUGGGAAAUACAGCAUUUAAAUGUGCCAUCUUGGGAGUGGAGACUGGGCCUAUGUUAGACACCAAGCCUGCCAGAAAUUUGAUCUGGGACUUCUCAGCCUUCAGAACUAUGAAGACACAGAGGUGCAAAGAGGCUAAAAUAACUUGCCAAGGACCUAGAGUUACAAUUUUGCAAGUAUAAUGAAAUGCUGUACACAUAAUGGACUAGACCCUGCUGUGUCCAAGGCUAUGCUAUGGAUAUGAAGCCCAACUAAAACAAUCUGCCUCAGCUGGGGUGUGUGAGGUAUCAAUAACCCUUGGCAGAGGUGUCAAGAGCCUUGCUGGAACUCAACUACCCUGCUGACCAGAUGCUUAGCAAGUUAACAAGACUCUGAGCAUUCACCACUUUUUCUAACACAACAAUUAACACAACUGGAAAAUCACUGCACUGAUUAUCUGAAGAAAAAAAAUCUCACCAAAGUUGCCUUUUAUGGAACAGAGGCAAAUAAUAAAUACUGGACCACACUGGGAAGAGAAUUUUGAAGUUUUAAGCUGGGCAGGUGCUAUGGCUCAAUAAACAAGAUGAGAGAAACUGAAAAGUAAAAAUCUUAUCAAAAGUAUUUUCUCAGUAUACUCAUAUACAUUUCUGAGUACAUUAAAACUAUUUCAAUCUUACCCUUACAAAUAUGAUGUUUUAUCUUUGGAAAUAACUGAGGCUAACACAUUUUCUCAUAAGAGAUCAAGACUAAAACUUGGUUUAAGAAUAGAAUCUAAAGAGCUAAAGUUUUACUAAAGUGGAUAAUAUUAGUCAGCAUCUAUAUAUAUAAGAGCAUAUUCAGAAGUUACUCAUUGAACAACAUUUAGAUAGCUAUAAAACCUGGAUAAAGCAAUCAAGUUACUUGAUUUUUUAAAACUAAUCUUUAAAAGAGUGUAUACGAAAUUGUUUUUUUUUUAACCUAAAUAUAUAUUUUGUUUUUCAAGUUAUAUCACCUUAAGGUCAUUCCCUUUCCUCUCAUUCAUAAUUCUAUUAGAUUGCAAUUAUAUACUUUUUCUGGAAAAAUAAAUAACUUACAUACUAUUCCUAGAAAAAUAUACGGUAUGCAGGAAAAUGUGAAUAUUAGCAUUAAACAAUUUAAUGUUGUCUUUGCUUUGAAAUUCAAUAAUGCCAUCAGCCUGUAAGACCUCUUAGAGCCUAGCAUUUCACACAGUGAAAGCUGCUUUCUGUUACAAAAGCACAGCAGCUGUGACUCCCGCAGAUACCCUUAAAGACAGAUAUAAUAAAACACUGGGAGGGAGUAGGUCGACACAGGAGCAUGAAAUGGACGAGAUGAAGCCCCUUUGUCACAGCCAAACAGGCUAUAAAGUUACUAUAGUAACAUACAGUAUUAAACUCCAGGUGGAUUGACUUAAUCUUCCUCAAACAAAAAAUAAAGGUUAACAAAAACCAAACCAAUAAUGAUUACAAUCACUCUACCCAAAUAUUUUUCAAGAAGUUCUUAUUUUUUGGUUUACUCUGGAUAGGUGAAGAACAGGGUACACUGGCUCAUGUUCUGAUUUGAAGAAACAACCCCAGAAGUUCAGGGUGUGGCUAAAGAAAUGCCUUUUUAAAAUAUUUGAAUACAUCCAAUGACUUGAGUUGCAAGAAAAUCAAAGUGAUGAGAGAACAAUUAGACUAUAUGGAUUCUCAAACCUAAUAUUUUUUCUAUGUUCAUCACAUUAUUGUCAAGUGGAGACAAUUUAAGUGAUAAUGCCUCUGGAUCCAGUCCUAAAUUCAUGGAAAAUUCAGCAGCCUUUUCUGAACUUUGGUUGAAGAGUUUCAGGCCCCAUCUGUUUUAAUCUACGUUUUCAGGAAGAGAAUAAUGACUUAUGACAUAAGGAACCCCAAAGAGCUCAGUAAACCAUCCAGGAUGAAAUCCACAACAAUCUGUAAGUCCAGCAGCCUCCCCACAAACCCUGCAGGGUACCUGAGGAUGCCCCAGACUCUCCUGGCAUCCUCAAUGACUUGAUUUUGAUCUCACUGAGCAUUCAUUCCAUCAGAAUAACAGAGCCACCCUCCUCAGAUUCUGUAUCUGGAUAAGAAAGAAGAAGAAUCAGAAACAACCAACCAAAGCCAUUAAGACAAUUUAUAUAAAGAACAACUGUUUUAAUGACCCUGCAGAUUGUACCCCAAGUUCCCUGUCUUCAAAGGAAUGAUAUGAGCUGGAAGUUCUAGUCUGCUAAUGAGCAAAAACCAUCUUUAUGUAAACAUAUCUAUGCUUUGUACCAUGGAUACCUUAUGAGCACACAGCAAAGAGUGGUUAAAUAUGCUUUAUUUCUGUAUUAAUAACAUUUAGUAAGGUCAGUAAUAAUCACUUACCUUAACAUUUUCAAGAGACAAAAGCUUCUCCAAAAGCUGUUGCUAUUGUCUAACUGUAUCCACAUCAGAAAUAAAGCUCGGGAAUCUCAUAAUGAUGGAAGCUGCAAUUAUUGUCAUUUUAAUUUUCUUUUUUAUUUCCAAAAAAUAGACAUGGGUUUUACAAUGAUUUUUGCACAAAAUAUGAAGCAAAAUUCAUUUAGUGAACAAAUUGUUCUCUAGAUACUUCUAAAAGCAGAAUUAACAUUAUCUUUUGUAAAAAUAUCAUAAUGUCCAUAGCUCUGUUUAAAUGGAGAUACCCUAUCGUCAAAAACUUUUUAAGGAAAUUCUGUUAACUAACUGAUGACUUCUAUUGAUGGACCAUUCCAAUUUUCAAUCUUCUCUAAAAAUAUGAAGCUUUUAAAGUGGGUGUAAGACAUUUAAACAACCACCACAUUCAAGAGAGAACACUGUUUUUCCUCUUUGUUAUGGAAUACAGCCUCUACGUCACAGUUAACCUUUUAGAUAAUGGUCACUAAAUAGUGAACAUUAGUUUUUAAAUCCCUCAAAAUACGUGAAGAUAGUAGGAUAAUAAUUUCUGAAUGAAAUCUGAAGUCCCAAUUGCUUAUCUAUGUUUGCAUUAUAUAAAAUCAAUUAUCCUUAAUAUUGCAUGUAAUUUAUAAUACAUUAAUAGCUUAUUAGAAUGUGAGCCCCAUGGGGACAGUGCCUGUAUCUGUUUAUUCAUUCCUCCAUUUCAGUGAUCACAAUAGUGCCUGGCACAUAAUAGAUACUCAGUGUUUACUGAAUAAACAAAUGAUGAAAUUACUACAUUUGACAUAAUUUUCUGUAGCUGUCUAAAUAUAUGGAAAGGAAUAGAUAUUUUAUUUCACAUUUCAGCUCAGUUAAAUAAAUUGAAAUAUACUUCGGGAAACAGGUUUAAAUGAUUCCUCCUUGAUGAAUGUAGAACUUACAGAAAGCAUAUACAAAGUGUGUAAUUUUCUUUUUUUGUUUAUAAAUUAAUGCUCUCUCUUUGUAUAUAUAUCACUUGGCCAUUGUUAAAUGACAAUUGAGAGAUAAAACCAUUAAGAAAAAGAUUGCAUACUUGUUUACACAAGCAAACUAUUUAUAAGGGAGUCUUGAAAAACUGUCUCUCUGAACACGGUUUGAAGCAGGUAUGUAAAGGAAAAUAAACACUCACAAUACAGGGUUUCCAAAGUUGUAUUCCGCCUGUCAGCAAUAGGGAAAAAAACAGUUGUUUUCUCUAAUGAUUAUCAUAUUUGCAUGAGUCUGUACCUAACUGUAGGUAUCAGUACUGCAGAGUCAUGAUUCACUUUUCCUAGGAAGUUGGCAACUUCAGGGAAAGCACUAAAGCCUUCAUUGAUUUGGGGACUGGUGGGUUCUUGUUCAGUUUGUUUUAGUUCAUCCAUUAAUGAAAUGGUUUUUGUUUGUAUGUGUGUUUUGUUUUCAUUUCUGACUGUGGUAUAAUGUGCCUAGUCAUCAUGGAGGCAGGGCAAGAUGUGAAUUUUGCUUUUCAACUAGAAUUUCGUGACCAGAAAAUGAAUUAUUCAAAAUGUAUUUAUUUCAGGCCUCAUGUAAGUCUAUCUGUUCACCAUACUCUGAAUGUUUUACUCAGCCUGCCUCAGACAUGCUGCUUUGUGCAAAAAAGAAUAAACUGGGUGCUUUAGAUCUGUUCCCUAGCAAUCGCUUAGGACUCUUCUGGAAGAGACUACUGGAAACGCCAUGCCCACCCUGCCCACCCCUUCCCCAACUCCACCUCAGUGCCAAACAGCUCUCAGUCCUGCUUCUGGAAUCUCAAAUCUGCCCUCCAGGGGUUUGCUCCCCGGAGCAAGUGCAUUAACCUCUCUGAACCUCUGUUUCCUCAUUUAUGAGACUAUGAUUUAAAACUUAUUUACAGGAUUUUUGUGAGAAUUCCAUAUAAUUGAUAUAAACAAGUUAUGACUGUAACCUCCCCACAAAAGUUAUUCAGUUAAUACAUAUUCUCUGCAUGUUUAUUUUCCUAUUUUUAGCCUGUUCUUCUCUUUUUACUUGUCAUUUAGACAUGAUUUAUAGAUUGUAAAAUGCUUAUUUUUCCCAAAACACUUGAGCCCACAUUCACUUUUUAACUCUUGCUUGUCAUUGCCUUGGGGGAACACUUCUCUUGAAUCCAAGUCCCAAGACCAGGCCAUCUUCUGGUUGUUGCUGCUCUCUAGACCCCUAGAGAGGCAAUUCUGAUCUGACAUAUUGUGGCUUUAAUGACUGAGACAGUCUCUUUUAGCUAUGAUUUCAAAUUUUGUCUCUGAUAUUGCCUAUCUCUUCCCUGGUUUCCUCAUCUGUAGAAUGUGGAAAUUCUCUUACAGCAUCACAGGGAAUAAAUUAAAUAAUGCACACAUGCUUUUUAGCAUAGUGUAUGGCAUGUGAAAUGCGAUAAAAGGUGAUUCUCCUUAUAAUUAAAGAAAUAGAAAUUAGUGCCCAUAACACUGUGUAUUUAUAUAAUAAAAUUCUUUCCAAUUGCCCUACAAGAUGAGUGAAGCAAAUCUGUAGAAAGUAUAUUCGUUUCUCAAAUAUUUUAUUUCGCUUCUACGAAAAACUAAAAAAGGCUGGGUGCAGUGGCUCACACCUGUAAUCCCAGCACUUAGGGAGGCCGAGGCAAGCAGAUUGCCUGAGAUCAGGAGUUAGAGACCAGUCUGACCAACAUGGUGAAAUCCCAUCUCUACUAAAAAUACAGAAAAAAUCAGCCGGGUAUGGUGGCGUGCUCCUGUAAUCCCAGCUACUCAGGAGGCUGAGGCAGGGGAAUUGCUUGAACCAGGGAGGUGGAGGUUGCAGUGACCUGAGAUCGUGGCACUGCACUCUGGCCUGGGCGACAGAAUGAAACUCCAUCUCAAAAUAAAAAAAAAAAGAAAAACUAAAAAAUACAUUUGUUUGGCUCACAGAUGUUAAUGAUCUGGGGAAACUUUGAUAUUUAAUGAAAAUUGUUUCCUAGAAUUUGUGCCUGUGGAUUAUUUUUUAAUAUAGCAUAGGUUAGGCAGGACUAGGGUUU
rnacentral:lncRNA from 1 species